rnacentral:rRNA from 1 species
AUUGAACGCUGGCGGCAGGCCUAACACAUGCAAGUCGAGCGGUAACACAGAGGAGCUUGCUCCUUGGGUGACGAGCGGCGGACGGGUGAGUAAUGCCUGGGGAUCUGCCCGAUAGAGGGGGAUAACUACGGGAAACUGUAGCUAAUACCGCAUAAUGUCUACGGACCAAAGUGGGGGCUCUUCGGACCUCAUGCUAUCGGAUGAACCCAGGUGGGAUUAGCUAGUUGGUGAGGUAAUGGCUCACCAAGGCGACGAUCCCUAACUGGUUUGAGAGAAUGACCAGUCACACUGGAACUGAGACACGGUCCAGACUCCUACGGGAGGCAGCAGUGGGGAAUAUUGCACAAUGGGCGCAAGCCUGAUGCAGCCAUGCCGCGUGUGUGAAGAAGGCCUUCGGGUUGUAAAGCACUUUCAGCGGGGAGGAAGGGCUACUAGUUAAUACCUAGUGGCAUUGACGUUACUCGCAGGAGAAGCACCGGCUAACUCCGUGCCAGCCGCCGCAGUAACAC